rnacentral:misc_RNA from 1 species
AAGUCGUAACAAGGUUUCCGUAGGUGAACCUGCGGAAGGAUCAUUAACACGCGUAAUCUCUAACGAUUACAAACCAAACUCGUGAACUCGUAAUUCAAUAACAGACCGCGAUUAGUAGGCCGCUUUAGCCUUGUAAGGAGUGUGUCGAUUGCUGUGACUCCUUAUGGGCUAGAGUGCUAUGGACUAUUAGGCGCGGUAUAUAAGUCAAAAAUAAACUCACUCAGUAGUCAACUACCUUUACCCCUUAUUGAACUUUUUAAUUAACUGAUCUCCAUAGUCUCUGAUCGAAAGGUCUUAGACUACACUGGAUCGUAAUCCUUACGAAACAGUAAAGUACAACUCUAAGCAGUGGAUAUCUUGGUUCCCAU